rnacentral:rRNA from 1 species
CCUACGGGUGGCAGCAGUGAGGAAUAUUGGUCAAUGGCCGAGAGGCUGAACCAGCCAAGUCGCGUGAGGGAAGACGGCCCUACGGGUUGUAAACCUCUUUUGUCGGGGAGCAAAGCGAGUCACGUGUGACUCAUUGAGAGUACCCGAAGAAAAAGCAUCGGCUAACUCCGUGCCAGCAGCCGCGGUAAUACGGAGGAUGCGAGCGUUAUCCGGAUUUACUGGGCGUAAAGGGUGUGCAGGCGGUUUUGCAAGAUGGAUGUGAAAGCCCCGGGCUUAACCUGGGAAAGCCAUACAUGACUGCAAGACUAGAGUGCGUCAGAGGGGGGUGGAAUUCCAAGUGUAGCAGUGAAAUGCGUAGAUAUUUGGAAGAACACCGAUGGCGAAGGCAGCCCCCUGGGACGCAACUGACGCUCAUACACGAAAGCGUGGGGAGCAAACAGGAUUAGAUACCCGUGUAGUC